AAGCGUUCACCUUCUUAUUCGAAGGCGCAGUUCGACUCAAGCCAUGGAACGGGGACUUGGG
ncrna:Prochlorococcus marinus str. MIT 9211 Glutamine-II riboswitch (downstream peptide RNA)